rnacentral:lncRNA from 1 species
UUCAGAAGCCCACUGCUUUUGCUCAGAAAGCUUAAUGCACAGAUGCUUAUGAAGUGGGAUGCUUGGGAACCUUUCAGCAGUGGGUGGGUGUCAGCAGCUGCUCAGAGGAGAUGUGUUUUAUUGGACAAUCAGUCAGACAUAGGGGCUGGCUUUAGUUGAAGCUGGUUUUCCUCCCUUUUAGGGCUCUCUCUCUCUCUCUCUCUCUCUCACACUCCACUCUCAGAUUUAUUUAUUAUUAUUAUUUUUUUUUCAGAUUUAUUUAUUAUAUAUGAGUACACUGUCAUUGUCUUCAGACACACCAGAAGAGGGCAUCAGAUCCCAUUACAGAUGGUUGUGAGCCACCAUGUGGUUGUUGGGACUUGAACUCAGGACCUCUGGAAGAGCAGUCAGUGCUCAUAACCACUGAGCCAUCUCUCCAGCCUGGGCUAUCUCUUUAUCAGAAAAGAUUGUAGUAUACACUAAGGAGAUGAGCACAUGGAAUGGUAAAGUAGGCUUGGUGUCCCGCAGGCCAGCAGGAUACAGUACAGUAUAGUACUGGAGGGCGGAAGUGGAGUAGAACCUGCCUUAGAGAAAAGCCCACUGAAACAUUUGUUUUUCACUGAUGUAUUCAACAAAUAACCAGAGCAGUGGUGGCUGCUCUGAAAAGGAAUGGCAGGAAGCUGGGGUGGCAAUUGUGGUGGAAGCUGUCCUUGGGACUUACUCCCUUGGCUCUUUCUGGGCAGAUAUCUAGAUUCCUUUUCCUUCUUCCUCUGUAUCUUCCUCUUCUGAGUCUAAGCCUCAUUCUGGCAGGUUUGAUAGCAAUGCCUCUGCCAGCUCCUCCAGUAAUGAGGGCGACAGCGACCGAGAAGAGAAGAAGCGGAAACAGCUCAAAAGAGCCAAGAUGGCCAAGGAUCGGAAGAGCCGCAAGAAGUCUUCAGAGGGGAAGAAGGGUAAGGAUCCAAAUGCCCCCAAGAGGCCUAUGUCUGCGUACAUGUUGUGGCUUAAUGCAAGCCGAGAGAAGAUCAAGUCAGAUCACCCUGGCAUCAGCAUCACAGAUCUUUCCAAGAAGGCAGGCGAAAUCUGGAAGGGAAUGUCCAAAGAGAAGAAAGAGGAGUGGGACCGCAAGGCCGAGGAUGCUAGGAGGGAGUAUGAGAAAGCCAUGAAAGAGUAUGAAGGAGGACGAGGGGACUCGUCUAAAAGGGACAAGUCUAAGAAGAAAAAGAAAGUAAAAGCAAAGUUGGAAAAGAAAUCCACUCCUUCCCGGGGCUCAUCAUCCAAGUCUUCAUCCAGGCAGUUGAGCGACAGCUUCAA